rnacentral:rRNA from 1 species
UACGGGGGGAGCAAGCGUUGUUCGGAUUUACUGGGCGUAAAGGGCGCGUAGGCGGCCAGCACAAGUCAGUUGUGAAAUCUCCGGGCUUAACUCGGAACGGCCAAGUGAAACUGUCAUGCUAGAGUGCAGAAGGGGCAAUCGGGAAUUCUUGGUGUAGCGGUGAAAUGCGUAGAUAUCAAGAGGAACACCUGAGGUGAAGACGGGUUGCUGGGCUGACACUGACGCUGAGGCGCGAAAGCCAGGGGAGCAAACGGG